UGAGGAAUAUUGGACAAUGGGCGCAAGCCUGAUCCAGCAAUGCCGCGUGCAGGAUGAAGGCCUUCGGGUUGUAAACUACUUUUGUACGGAGCGAAAAGGUCUGCCCUAAUACGGUGGGCUCAUGACGGUACCGUAAGAAUAAGCACCGGCUAACUACGUGCCAGCAGCCGCGGUAAUACGUAGGGUGCGAGCGUUAAUCGGAAUUACUGGGCGUAAAGCGUGCGCAGGCGGUUAUAUAAGACAGAUGUGAAAUCCCCGGGCUCAACCUGGGACCUGCAUUUGUGACUGUAUAGCUAGAGUACGGUAGAGGGGGAUGGAAUUCCGCGUGUAGCAGUGAAAUGCGUAGAUAUGCGGAGGAACACCGAUGGCGAAGGCAAUCCCCUGGACCUGUACUGACGCUCAUGCACGAAAGCGUGGGGAGCAAACA
rnacentral:rRNA from 1 species